UUGAUCAUGGAAGCUAAGUUUCCUUCUUUUAUGCAAUCUGAUUGCUUGUUCUUCGAACUUGCAUUUCUGAACUGGCACAGGAGAAUAUCCAGGAGCAAAUUACCAGAGUGCUGAUUGAGCGCCUGAUAGUAAACCGACCUCACCCGUGGGGCUUGCUGGUUACUUUUAUUGAACUGAUUAAGAAUUCACGAUACAGCUUCUGGAAUCGGUCUUUUACCCGGUGUGCACCUGAGAUUGAGAAGCUAUUUGAAUCAGUUUUAAGAACAUGUGGUGGUCCAAAGACAGUAGAUGAUGGAAUGGUUUCUGGCAUCCAAGAUGGCAGCCAUUGAUGAAUUUCAAUUAUAUUUACAUUUUAUUUGUCUAAAUACCACAAAAACACUUUCUUUUGUACUAUUGACUCUGUAGAACACAAGCACAAUCAGUACAUAUAUAAACGUUAUGUGUAGAUAUAACCCUUAUGUGUUUUGAAACCCUCCAUCAUGUUUGUAUGUAUAUGGAAAGUGAUUGUAGGCUCU